AAAAAAAAAAAAAAAAGAUUAGUGGCAGUCAGGAAAUUUUCUUAUUUCACGUCAUUGCAACUUCAAUACAGAACGUGGAAACUAUAUUUCUACAGUCAACAAACAGGUCAUGUACAUUUUUGUGAUUUUGACCUUCCGGCUUUUGUAUAUAAUAUAGAUCUCAGUGGUUUCUAUAGGAACUUGUAAUUGGUGAGUUUAUGCCG
rnacentral:misc_RNA from 1 species